ACCAAACUCAGAUGUUAAGCUCACCGACCUAUAGUUCCCAGUAUUUUCUCUGCAGCCCUUCUUGAAAAGAAGCCCAACAUUUGCCACCCUCCAGUCUUCCGGCACCUCUCCUGUAUUUAAGGAUGACUCAUAAAUUUCAACCAGG